rnacentral:rRNA from 1 species
AGAUUGAACGCUGGCGGCAGGCCUAACACAUGCAAGUCGAGCGGUAGAGAGGUGCUUGCACCUCUUGAGAGCGGCGGACGGGUGAGUAAUGCCUAGGAAUCUGCCUAGUGGUGGGGGAUAACGUUCGGAAACGGACGCUAAUACCGCAUACGUCCUACGGGAGAAAGCGGGGGACCUUCGGGCCUCGCGCCAUUAGAUGAGCCUAGGUCGGAUUAGCUAGUUGGUGAGGUAAUGGCUCACCAAGGCGACGAUCCGUAACUGGUCUGAGAGGAUGAUCAGUCACACUGGAACUGAGACACGGUCCAGACUCCUACGGGAGCAGCAGUGGGGAAUAUUGGAC